rnacentral:lncRNA from 1 species
UUUUAGGGUUUUAUGGUGAUCACCAAUUUCAUGCAAAAAGCAAAAAGUGAAAAAUAAUUUGGAAAACAAACAUUUAACAUGCAACUAUUGAAUGAAUAUCACUGUAUUAAUCAAGUUAUGCCAACAAUGUCUUCACUUCUCCUUUUGGCAUGGGAGAAGGGUUUUUAAACAAAAUGAACACAUUACGUUAACUUAUAGAUAACUGUUAG